rnacentral:misc_RNA from 1 species
AAUUCUCAACCUUAUUAGCUUUUGCUGAUAAUGGCUUGGAUGUUGGGGGUCUGUUUUGCCGGCUUCUUCAGAAGUCCGCUCCCCUUAAACGCAUUAGCCGGUGCCCCAUGUGGACUGUCUAUUGGUGUGAUAAUUAUCUACGCCGUGGAUGUCUGCAAAUGAUAUGGGUUUUUGUGCUGCUUCUAACUGUCUGUUCAUUCAGACAAUAUAUGACA